AUGGAUCAGCACAACGAUGCAGAAGAGAAGGUGAUGUGCUCUUGGGCUGAGGUUGUAUUCACUCAGCCCCAGUCUGUGUCAGGGUAUCCUGGUCAGACAAUAAGCAUCUACUGUGCCCUCAACAGUGGCAGCAUCAACAACAACUAUGCAUCUUGGUACCAACAGCACGCAGGAAGUUCCCCCAAGAUGCUCAUCUACAAGUAUAAUGAAAGACCCAUUGGGGUUCCAAACCGAUUCUCUGGAUCCAAAGACAGCUCCUCCAACUCUGCCUCCCUGACCAUCUCUGAGCUGCAGCCUGAGGAUGAAGCUUAUUACCACUGUCUGUCUGGUUAUGUCAGCUAUUUCACACAGAGCUCAAGACCUAGGAGGAAGUGA